GAUGAACGCUGGCGGCGUGCUUAACACAUGCAAGUCGAACGGAAAGGCCCAAGCUUGCUUGGGUACUCGAGUGGCGAACGGGUGAGUAACACGUGGGUGAUCUGCCCUGCACUUCGGGAUAAGCCUGGGAAACUGGGUCUAAUACCGGAUAGGACCACUUCUUGGAUGUUGUGGUGGAAAGUUUUUUCGGUGUGGGAUGAGCUCGCGGCCUAUCAGCUUGUUGGUGGGGGAAUGGCCUACCAAGGCGUCGACGGGUAGCCGGCCUGGGAGGGUGUACGGCCACAUUGGGACUGAGAUACGGCCCCGACUCCUACGGGGGGCAGCAGUGGGGAAUAUUGCACAAUGGGCGCAAGCCUGAUGCAGCGACGCCGCGUGGGGGAUGACGGCCUUCGGGUUGUAAACUCCUUUCGCUAGGGACGAAGCGUUUUGUGACGGUACCUGGAGAAGAAGCACCGGCUAACUACGUG
rnacentral:rRNA from 1 species